UGUAGUUCAGUGGUAGGACACUUGCCUCACAUGCACAAAGCCCUGGGUUCAAUUCCCAGUA
rnacentral:tRNA from 1 species